GCAAUAGCGUAUAUUAAAGUUGUUGCAGUUAAAAAGCUCGUAGUUGAAUUUCGAGAUCAAUUUGUCGGUCGUGCCUCGGUACGUACUGGCAUUAUUGAUUUCUCCUUUCUGAAGAACCAUGAUGUCAUUAAUUUGGUGUCUUGGGGAAUCAGGACUGUUACUUUGAAAAAAUUAGAGUGUUUAAAGCAGGCUCACGCUUGAAUACAUUAGCAUGGAAUAAUGAAAUAGGACGUUUGAUUCUAUUUUGUUGGUUUCUAGGAUCGACGUAAUUAUUAAUAGGGAUAGUUGGGGGCAUUAGUAUUCAAUUGUCAGAGGUGAAAUUCUUGGAUUUAUUGAAGACUAACUACUGCGAAAGCAUUUGCCAAGGAUGUUUUCAUUAAUCAAGAACGAAAGUUAGGGGAUCGAAGACGAUCAGAUACCGUCGUAGUCUUAACCAUAAACUAUGCCGACUAGGGAUCGGAUGAUGUUAAUUUUUUAAUGACUCAUUCGGCGCCUUACG
rnacentral:rRNA from 1 species